GACAGUAUAUGUCGUCGAUGAUCACAUGAGAAUGUUUUCUCUUGAACAUGCAGCAGAAACAAGAUUCCGGUGUGGGGAAAAGUAAAUGGGACUUGUUUAAACAGAGUAUGAGGAGUUGCUUUCACGAAGUUUGGCUGUGAAGAGGAGGAAAAGGAGAGCCAGGGUGCUGCUGGAAGGAGGCUGAGGUAACUACUUGUUUGAAGUAAUAAUAGCAACAAUGUAUUGGGAGAUUAUAGUUUAUUGAUAAAUGAGAUGAAUGGCGUCAAUGUUAGAAGAAUUGAGAACACUCUGUUAUAAGAAAGUUAAAGGAUCUAAGGUAACAUCUGGAAGAAGAAAUAGGUGAAAUGACCAAAUGGUGGGAUCUGUUUUAAAAUAUUUGAGAUUAAAAAGCAAAGCGUGGAGGAGAG
rnacentral:lncRNA from 1 species